GUGAUCAGUAUUGACCUAGUUGAGGGCGUCAUCUGUGAUUCAUCAUCACAGACAAUGAACAGUCCUUCGGGCAACGGGUGUGGGAAGAACACUUACCCGCGAGGGGUUACUGGAGGCUCUAUCCUCCGUCCACUAGUCUCUGUUAGGUGUGUGAGCCGUCAGGUCGUCGGUGAUUACAGCUCUGGUGGAUCACUAGGCUGUGAAGACACACGUCAUUGUUGCUGGACAUGGACGCUACAUGCUGUUUCCUGUCUAUUUGUCUUGUCAUUGUGAAGAUGACUUGCUACGACGGCAGCCAUAGUGAUAUCUGUAUAAAAGUCAAAUCUUAAGAGCUCUCACUGCUGAACAGUCUUCCAGAAUUUAGUAAACAUUACAGGAACCACCGACCAUCUGCUACCCUUUCUUCAUGCUGGUGCGCACGUAUAAGAGGAAGACCACAAGAACGCAGUAGACUUGGCGAAUACCCUGAUAGCAUUGUCAGGAGACAGGUCAUGAAGAUAUGCAGUGAGACAAGUUUGCAGCAGCAUUUCACUGCAAGGUUCAAAUCACUCCGAAAAAUUGGAAGAAAAAUAGCGCUUCGCAAUGCAGGAAUUGCAAUAGCAUUAAAUGCAGCUUGUCCAAGUGAUUUUAGGAUUUUUUUUUUCGAUGUUAAUGAGUUGAGAAACUUUGUUAUAUAUCACCUGGACCGCAGUCUGAGAGAUGUUCCAGAGUUUGCCGAUAAAUAUAAUAUUUUCUUAUUUGCAAAAUGUUAAUAUGGAGUAACAGUACUUAUAGUGCCCAAGAAGUAGGUAGUUUUUUUUUACCACGUUUUAUAUGAACUACCACCACAAUUGUCCCACCUAAAGUAGCGAGGUCUCAGAUGCCCCACACCAGGGGCCACUGAAACUAAUUUGUUUUUAUUAUUCUAACAAUACAAUUGUAUAGCCUAAUAAAGUUGGUCAGUUUGUACUUCCAUUAUCCCUUUGUAUUGUUUUCUAAAACUAAAAAUUUGAACAGAAUAAACUUAGCUUUUUUUUCAUAUUACCACGCAAAUGACUUGAUAUUUUUGGCCACAGUUGUGCCACUUGAUAUUAUAUCUAUUGGAAGUAUUAUUUUAAUGUUAAUUGUACGAGUGUUAUUAUUAUUAAACCUUUCCAGGGAGGUGCCUUGACCUCUACACUUCCCUGGGAUCAUGCUGUCUCACAUUCCUGAAGGCGCUGCACCACCCCUAUCAGCUUAGCGCUGCACCAUUAAAUAAAAUGAUAAAUAUAUUGACCAAAAAACUUGAUUGACCAUCAGAUUGAAUGAAUCUGAUUUCCUCUUGUCAGAUACUGAUUAUCCGUAACUUCAACGCUCUUUUUUUUUAUACUAUUUAGCUUCAAAUUAUUUAUCCUU